rnacentral:rRNA from 1 species
GGGUGCGAUUAUACCAGCACUAAUGCAUCGGAUCCCAUCAGAACUCCGAAGUUAAACUUGCUUGGGCGGGGGUAGUACUAACAUGGGUGACCUCUUGGGAAGUCCUCGUGUUGCACCCC